UUCUGGUUGAUCCUGCCAGAGGCGACCGCUAUUGGAGUUCGAUUAAGCCAUGCGAGUCGAGAGCUUUAGGAGCUCGGCAUACUGCUCAGUAACACGUGGAUAACCUGCCCUGUGCUCUGGGAUAACCUCGGGAAACUGAGAAUAAUACCGGAUAGUCCACCACGCCUGGAACGGUGGGUGGAUCAAAGGUCACGGCACAGGAUGGGUCUGCGGCGUAUCAGGUUGUAGGGGGUGUAAAGGACCCCCUAGCCAUUGACGCGUACGGGUUGUGGGAGCAAUCGCCCGGAGAUGGAUUCUGAGACACGAAUCCAGACCCUACGGGGUGCAGCAGGCGCGAAAACUUCACACUGCAGGAAACUGUGAUGAGGGAACUCCAAGUGCAUGCACAAUGUGUAUGCUUUUCCUUACUUUUAAUCGGUUUGGGAAUAAGGGCUGGGAAAGACCGGUGCCAGCCGCCGCGGUAAUACCGGCAGCUCAAGUGGUCGUCGCUUUUAUUGGGCCUAAAACGUCCGUAGCCUGUUUGGUAAAUCUGUGGGUAAAUCAACCAGCUUAACUGGUUGAAUUCUGCAGAGACUGCCAGACUAGGGACCGGGAGAGGUGUGGGGUACUCUCGGGGUAGGGGUAAAAUCCUGUCAUCCUGGGAGGACCACCAGUUGCGAAGGCGCCACACUGGAACGGAUCCGACGGUCAGGGACGAAGCCUAGGGGCACGAACCGGAUUAGAUACCCGGGUAGUCCUAGGAGUAAACGCUGUGAACUUGGUGUC
rnacentral:rRNA from 1 species